rnacentral:rRNA from 1 species
GACGAACGCUGGCGGCGUGCCUAAUACAUGCAAGUCGAACGCUUUGAUUUUCACCGAAGCUUGCUCCACCGAAAAUCAAAGAGUGGCGGACGGGUGAGUAACACGUGGGCAACCUGCCCAACAGAGGGGGAUAACACUUGGAAACAGGUGCUAAUACCGCAUAAUUUGUUUUUCCGCAUGGAAGAAUAAUAAAAGACGCUUCGGUGUCACUGUUGGAUGGGCCCGCGCUGCAUUAGUUAGUUGGUGGGGUAACGGCCUACCAAGACCAUGAUGCAUAGCCGACCUGAGAGGGUGAUCGGCCACACUGGGACUGAGACACGGCCCAGACUCCUACGGGAGGCAGCAGUAGGGAAUCUUCGGCAAUGGACGAAAGUCUGACCGAGCAACGCCGCGUGGGUGAAGAAGGUUUUCGGAUCGUAAAACUCUGUUGUUAGAGAAGAACAAGUGAGAGAGUUACUGUUCUCACCUUGACGGUAUCUAACCAGAAAGCCACGGCUAACUACGUGCCAGCAGCCGCGGUAAUACGUAGGUGGCAAGCGUUGUCCGGAUUUAUUGGGCGUAAAGCGAGCGCAGGCGGUUUCUUAAGUCUGAUGUGAAAGCCCUCGGCUCAACCGAGGAAGGUCAUUGGAAACUGGGGAACUUGAGUGCAGAAGAGGAGAGUGGAAUUCCAUGUGUAGCGGUGAAAUGCGUAGAUAUAUGGAGGAACACCAGUGGCGAAGGCGACUCUCUGGUCUGUAACUGACGCUGAGGCUCGAAAGCGUGGGGAGCAAACAGG